UUCCUCCUCCUCCUUCCCCGUUUCGUCGCCUCCACUCCACCAGUCCACCGCCGCCCCCGCCCCCGCCGCCGCCUAGGGCAGAGGGGCUGCCCAUGGAGCUCUCCAGGAUCCGGACCUUCGAGAAGCGCCUCCUCCGGCCGCUCCUCUCCCUGCCCGCGCGCUCCCGGGCGUUCCAGACCCUGGCCCGCUCCACCCCUCCGCCGCCCUGCGCCCCCUCCCUCCUCCUCCUGCUCCGCACGCGCCACCUCGCGCCCCAUCCCCAUCCCCCACGCCGCGCCUCGCUCCCGCCCCUCCGCUCCUUCGCGUCCGUCUCCCCGGCCCCGUCGGCCCCCGGGAAGGACCUCCAGGGCAGCAACGGCAACGACGACGACGACGGCCUCCCGCCCGCGCCCCUCCCGCCGCCGCCCGAGGAGCUCGGUUCCGACGACGACGCCUACUACCAGGAGCAGCUGCUCGAGUACGCGCAAGAGGACGAGGCCCGCCUCGUCCCCGUCAAGGCCUACUUCCCCUGCACCAGCAUCAACCUCAAGAGCCUCCAGUCGCAGAACUCCUUCAAUGUCAUCCCGCCUACUUCGCGUGCCACCAAUUAUGUCGUCCUCAGAUACUAUGAUGUCAAGGGAGACCCAGAGGGUUUUAAGACUGGUGUCAUAGAUGAGAGCCAUUGCCACUAUAUGGUAGUUUUCCAAUAUGGGUCCAUCGUGCUGUUCAAUGUUUCUGACCAUGAAGCAGAUGGAUACCUAAAAAUUGUCGAGAGGCAUGCUUCAGGGUUACUGCCAGAGAUGAGGAAAGAUGAUUACGCCGUUGUUGAGAGGCCUGCCAUGGAGAAGUGGAUGGAGGGUGGACUUGAUUUUAUUAUACUUAAGGAUCUGAGUAUCGAUGGUAUUCGGACAAUUGGAAGUGUACUUGGUCAGAGUAUCGCUCUUGACUAUUAUAUCCGGCAAGUGGAUGGAAUGGUUGCCGAGUUCACGGAUAUAAAUCGUGGAAUGGAGAAAACUGGUACCUUCACUAUGGAGAGGAAAAAGCUUUUCCAGUUAGUCGGAAAGGCUAACUCUAACUUGGCAGAUGUCAUUCUUAAGCUUGGACUUUUUGAGAGGUCAGACAUUGCUUGGAAGAACGCAAACUAUGCGCAGAUCUGGGAGUUCCUCCGGGACGAGUACGAGCUAACCCAAAGAUUCGGAAACCUUGAUUUCAAGUUGAAAUUUGUUGAGCACAACAUCCGGUUCCUCCAGGAGAUCCUCCAGAACAGGAAGUCGGACUUCCUGGAGUGGCUGAUCAUCAUCCUCAUCAGCGUGGAGAUCUUGAUAUCCGUGUACAACAUUGUCCAGGAGCAGAUGUAGAGCGAUAGCGUGAGACCAAUACGUCGUUGUUGAGAGUGAGCGAGACCAUCGUCAGAGCCACGAACGAACCACACUGUUUUGUCCGCGAGUUUUUUGGUUCCAUUUCUUCCCCCCGGUAGAAGCCCCUGUAAAGAAUUCGUAAUUCGGACCAUGAAUGAUCAUGUACUCCCUCCGUUCGGAAUUACUUGUCUUGGAUAUGGAUGUAUCUAAAACUAAAAUACAUCUAGAUACAUCCAUUUCUGUGACAAGUAAUUCUGAACGGAGGAAGUAGCUUUAGCGCACUUGCUUUGUCCGGACGGUGGUCGUGCUGCCGCUGUUGUCUGGCGCAAGUGUGAACUGCGGAUGAGUCAGUGAGUGUGGCCGAGGUAGUAACUGGGCGGCGUGUGACUGGCACGCGAUGGCGACGGCUCCUGUUGGCGUUCGUGGCUGGAACUUGAAAGGUAGGCGUGUGAUUGAUUGAUCGGGCGAUGUUGGCUUGACGGGGCGCGUGCAGGGCAUAAGCCACGUUCACAUUCUGACAACCGCCGGAACCUUUUUUCUAUGGGAAUGGGCUUGGAAUUAUACCAUGGAUCCAAUCUGCCGGGGAAUCGUUUGGUUUUUUUUCGGGGAUUGUUGAUUAUAUACUAAAUAAUAAUGUACACUAACAUUAUACUACUCCCCCCGUUCCUAAAUAUUUGUCUUUUUAGACAUUUCAAAUGAUUAACACAUACGGAUGUAUGUAGACAUAUUUUAAAGUGUAGAUUCAUUCAUUUUACUUCGUAUGCAGUCACUUGUUAAAAUGCCUAGAAAGACAAGUAUUUAGGAACGGAGGAGGGAGUAUUAUUUACUAGUAAAUCAUAUCCAUUAGCCAUUUAGCCACUUGCUCCCUUGAUUAAUCCGGCCGGACGGCGAGUGGGGCAGCCAGAUGCAUGCCUCGCCGGCCUGUCGUUGGCUCGUCGUCGCCCACUCCCUCCUCACCUCAGCCCCUAGCGAAAAUAGCCAAGCGCUCUGGCUGACUGACCGGCCGACGUGGCCGGCCCAAUCCUGGCCCACCACCUGGCGCCCCUCCCCGGCGGAAUCUCCCGUGUUCACACUCCCGAAUUACCCAAACACCCUCCUCCACCGGCGACCACACGAGGGCAGAACCGUCCCUCGCAACUUCCAAGCACGCCCGUGCGACCCGUCCGCCCUCGUGGCCGCACGAUCCCCAGAUCCAGCGGCCGCGGUCGCUCUACCAGAAGCUUCCGGCCCGGUGUAUAUAAGCGCGAGAGGGCCAGUGGCCUCCAUCGUCUUCACCCCCGCUCCUCCUCCCCCACCCCACACACACCGCACGCGUUUGACAUUUUCCGCCCACCACCACCGGAGGGAGCGAGCUCCAGCCAUGGCCGCCAAGUGCUACCCGACGGUCAGCGACGAGUACCUGGCGGCGGUCGCCAAGGCCAAGCGCAAGCUCCGCGGCUUCAUCGCCGAGAAGAACUGCGCGCCCCUCAUGCUCCGCCUCGCGUGGCACUCGGCCGGGACCUUCGACGUGGCCACCAAGACCGGCGGCCCCUUCGGCACCAUGAAGUGCCCCGCGGAGCUCGCGCACGGCGCCAACGCCGGCCUCGACAUCGCCGUCAGGCUGCUCGAGCCCAUCAAGGAGCAGUUCCCCAUCCUCUCCUACGCCGACUUCUACCAGCUCGCUGGAGUCGUCGCCGUCGAGGUGACCGGCGGGCCUGAGGUCCCCUUCCACCCGGGGAGACAGGACAAGCCCGAGCCUCCUCCAGAAGGCCGUCUUCCUGAUGCUACCCAAGGCUCUGACCACCUCAGGCAGGUGUUUUCCACUCAGAUGGGUUUGAGUGACCAGGACAUUGUUGCUCUUUCUGGUGGUCACACCCUGGGAAGAUGCCACAAGGAGAGGUCCGGCUUUGAGGGAGCCUGGACUGCCAACCCUUUGAUCUUCGACAACUCUUACUUCACUGAGCUCCUUUGUGGGGAGAAGGAAGGCCUUCUUCAGUUGCCGACCGACAAGACCCUCCUGACUGACCCGGCCUUCCGCCCACUUGUGGACAAAUAUGCUGCGGAUGAGGAUGCUUUCUUUGCUGACUACGCUGAGGCACACCUCAAGCUAUCCGAAUUGGGAUUUGGCGAGGCUGUUGAGGGCUGCUGCUGAUUCAAGCUCGGCGCCUGAAGGUCGUUAAUGGAGAAGAAGAAGAAGAUCAUGAAGAAGAAGAGCAAUAAGGAUGUCAUGUGUUUGUCUGGACUUGGAUUAGAUGGGUCGGUCGAUGGGGUGUUGCAUUGUUUUGCUUUGACGCCUCGUGUCUUGUGAUGGGCGUGCUUGUAGUAUGAACUGCCAAGUGUUAUGUAGUUCCUUUCCGGUUGAAUUGUUAUUCCCUGUCGAGGACGAAACGGAGAUUUGGUUGCCCUCAUUUGGCCAUUGAGCUCAUGUCAUUGUUUGUUUUACCAGCUUGUUGUCGUGCCUGUCCGCUAGUUCUGUGUUGGCCUGGUUCUUUCUCGCAUUGUCGUCUAUGGAGCUGCAAAUUCUUCACGG
rnacentral:rRNA from 1 species